ensembl:lncRNA
CGGAGAGGCUGUCCAAAAUAAAGACAAUGUUGGAUAACACCUCCCACCCACUCCAUGACAUGCUGGUCAGUCACAGGAGCACGUUCAGUGAGAGACUGAGAUUACCGAAAAGCACCACUGAAUGACACAGGAAAUCAUUCCUGCCUGUGGCCAUCUCACUGUACAACGCAUCCACUUAACACACUGUUUACUGCCACAACUACACGGUUCUUUCCCGCUAUUUAUUAUUGUGACUUAUAGAUCUAUAGAUAUAUAGAGAUAUAGAUAGAUAUAGAUAGUUAUAGAUAGAUAUAUAGUUAUUGAUAGAUCUAUAGAUAUAGAGAGAGAGAGAGAUAGAUGGAUAGAUAUAUAUAUAUUUUAGUACUAUUCUUAGUUAGCGUGUUGUCUGUUUUGUUAAUGUUGGUGUAUAAUGGAGCACUGUAACAAAGAAAUAAUUUCCCCCAGGGAUCAAUAAAGUAUUCUGAUUCUGUUCAUCUGGAAUGAUGAUGGAGUCUUGAGCAAUUUGGGCUUUCAGGUAUUUCUUGCACCUUUCUGAGGGAAGAGGGGCUCCAGAACUGUCAUCACCUUCUGCCUCACUGAGGGCCACAACAGUGAUAGCACGCAGUCCCACUGACAUAUCAUCUUGAUGCAGUGCGCAACAUCAACCCUGAUAAAACAUGGGGGGAGUUUGGCAGACUGGGUUCCAAGAAGGACAUGAAAGCAUUCAUUAAGGUAGGACUUCAGAUCAGGAUGAGGAGUGAAAGCCUUGACCAGAGCUCCCAGAAUUGCCAGAGAAAAGUCACUCACAGCUUCCUUUGGCACAGAGUGGCCAAAUUUGGAAGGUGGCUUGGCUCAGGAUCUCCAACAUCCAUCAGAUCUGCUGCCUUCGCUGACCUCCAUACAGCCGGUUCCAUUCUGCCCUCUCACAGCUCUUUAGAGAUCUGUUCACGCAGGUUUCCAGACAUGAACCGCUUGGAGUGGCCAGUGUGCAGGGAGAGAUCUGUAUUUCUCAUGAAACACUGGAGCACCAUUGGACUAUUAAUUGCUGGCUGUCUGUCACAUGACAUUUCGAACUGGCCAUGACACUCCUUACAGUCGCCUCUGAUGUCCAGAUAAUUAUUGUUGACAGUUGGAUGGACCUUUGCUCUUCGAAACACAAGUGUACAUGUAUUUUUGAUCUUCUUCCAUAUAAGAUCGUUGAUGAUAUGAGUCCAAGUGCCAGGUUUCAAAAUUGUGUAUUCCCUUUUUUGGGUAGGAGAAAACUUGUCAUUGUAUUCAACCUUUUCAGGAAUAAAUUUAACCCAGUCCUCAAAAGGGACUUCUAGUUCAGAAGCUUGACAGUUUUCUUGUCCAGGAGAAAUGCAAUGUGAAUCUAACUCUCCUUCACUAUUACUUUCCUGAUCACUGAUUUCCAAAGCUGACCAGAUGUUGUGUCUAUUUAGCUUCACAAAAGUGUACAGGGCCUUUGCUGACAUCUUGUCUUCUAGCUGCUGACUCAGCUCUUUCCAGACUGAUGCAGCUGGAGUGGCUAUUUUGCCAUUUCGGACUAUGGCCUCUUUUGAAUUGCAAAGAAUUGCAAAAAUGGAAACCUUGUCUACAGAUGGCUUUCGAGGCAUCUAAAUAAAAAAAACACACAAUGAUUAUGAUGGAGGAAAAACGUGAUUUCUGACCUAUAUAUACAGCCAGGAGCAACCCCUCCCCCAAGUUCUCCACCAAUCUACACUUUCAUAUUUUGUUGAAUUAUUGUUUUUAAGAUGGAGCUAUUGAAUUUUUCAGUUUAUUAAAUUGAGUCUGAGUGUUUAACCCAUUAACAUGUACUGUACAGCACUUUAAUCCAGUGUGCUACAUGUUUUUAAAGUGCUUUAGAAACUUUUUUUCUUGGACAGUUUUGAAAAUGUUUAACAUGGAAAAAAAAAUCCCUUUGAUCCAG